rnacentral:rRNA from 1 species
UACGUAGGGUGCAAGCGUUGUCCGGAAUUAUUGGCGUAAGAGCUACGUAGGCGGUCUGUCGCGUCGGCUGUGAAAAUCCCCGGAGGCUCAACCUCGGGUCUGCAGUCGAUACGGGCAAACUGGAGUGUUGCAGGGGAGGACUGGAAUUCCUGGUGUAGCGGUGAAAUGCGCAGAUAUCAGGAGGAACACCGGUGGCGAAGGCGGCCAUCCUGGACCGACACUGACGCUGAGGAAGCGAAAGCCAGGGGAGGCAAAACGGG